rnacentral:lncRNA from 10 species
UAGGCAUCCGAACUCUGAAAUCAGAACCCUGCGUCUCGGGGCUUCCUCCAACCCCGCUAUGUGAACCAGGCCUCCAGGAGUUCCUAAUGCGCAGGCUUGAGAGGCACUGCUUGCAUUUCUGAGAUUUGAGGGUGUUGGGGAGGGGUAGCUGGAGCCAGGAGGGCCGGAGACAGUGGAGCAUGGAUUUGGCAGAGAUAGAAAAGGGUUGAGGCAGCCAGAGAGAAAGAGACGUUGGCGAAAUUGCAGGGAUGUUUAAACAGCAUGUUUAGGGCAUGGAGGAGGCCUCGGUCUCCCAACACAAACAAGGGUAGGUGUUGCACCAUUCUCUGCCCCAUAAAUCACCCCACCCCUCCUCACCCGCCUGUUUCUCCCGUUCCACUGAGAAUUGGUGCUCCGAAAGCAGAGUAUAAGGCACUAAGUCACAAGGCAACCCUCAUGAUCCCCGGGCAAAAGGGUAGCUCUGUUUUUAAACCCGGAGGAGGCAUCUUCCCCCGGGGGUUGCCGGGCUUCUGUUCCUGUGUGUGUUGGUCUCCAGGAAGCCAUGGAGAGCUUGGCAGCAGAGACAGAGUCUCGAUAUGUCGCCAAGCUUGGUCUCAAACUCCAAGGCUCAAGUGCUCAAGUGAUCCACCCACCUCGACCUCCCAAAGUGCUGGGAUUACAGGGAAAAUAGUAAUUGAGCAUCAGACAUCACCACUCCUGAAAAAAACCUUCUACAAG